UACGGGGGGGGCAAGCGUUGUUCGGAAUUACUGGGCGUAAAGGGCGCGUAGGCGGUCUGCUAAGUUGGGUGUGAAAACUCUGGGCUUAACCCAGAGCCUGCAUUCAAAACUGACAGGCUAGAGUUCUGGAGGGGAUAGCGGAAUUCCUGGUGUAGCGGUGAAAUGCGUAGAUAUCAGGAGGAACACCGGUGGCGAAGGCGGCUAUCUGGACAGAGUCUGACGCUGAGGCGCGAAAGCUAGGGGAGCAAACAGG
rnacentral:rRNA from 1 species